ensembl:lncRNA
AUUCACAUGAUUCUCUGAAAAUACAGCCUUGAUGCAGAGCUUCGUUUGGAUUUUGUCUACAUCCAAAAUCUGCCUCAGAACCUCUGGAUCAAACGCAGCAAGUUGGCCUUGUAGACAGAAAGUCUCACACCAAGUAUUUUGAGCAGAACUUUUGGAACUGAAUAUACAAAAACCUUAAUACUGCCUUCUAAAGCUUGUGUUUUCCUUAAAGACCCCCCUUGACACAUCACCUCCUUAAUAGACAGAGCGAUGGAGAUGUGCUGUGGGUGUUUGGUGCUGGUCUUGCUGAUGACCGUCUCCUCAGAUGCUCAGUGUUCCAUGGUUUGACCUUAAUACCAAAGCUGUGAACUUAGCCAGAAGCCCCCUUCGUCCUUCUGAGAGUCCAGCCAGCUGGGGAAACUCAAAUGACCAGAGACUAGAUUAAAACGCAGAGGGGCCGUUUCUGCGAGGAGGAAAUAAUCCUGCAGUAAAUCUAGACUCCAGAUCUGCAGCUUCAACACAGCCCAGACGCAGCAAACAGAGCAGCUAAAAGCUUUU